AUGGAUCUGAGAACGCUGUCUGGGCUUGGUACCAAGAGCUGGUAUUUCACAGCAGCGACCGCCUCACAGACGAGCUGUGGGAAGCAGGAGGGAGACUCUCUCUUAGGGUGCCACUACUAUGGAGACACAGCUGGGCUGAACAAGAUUUGCUUCAAACGACAACAAGAGAGACAGAAAGUAUCUGGUUCAACCGCUGCCCGAGCAGGCAGGCACCAGAAGAGCUAGCAGCCAAUCCGGCCAUGCUCGAAGCCAGCUCUGCAGCUCAGCCAAUCAGUGACAUCAUUGCUUUCUUUAGCUUGCCCAUGGUGAUGUGAAGAUGAGAAGAAAUAGCAAGGCCCAACCAGUUCUUCAUCUGGAGACAGUUCAACGUUCUGCAAACCAGAUCUUCAGGAAUUUUACUGGGAUAAUUAUCCAAAUAAAUUGCAAGCAUUCUAUCCAAAUGGAGCUCUUUCUGAGAUGAAGAGAAUUCUCAAUGUCAAGAUUUGAACAAGAAGAGAAUGGAAUACACAAUAUGGACAUCCAUAAAAAUUCAUCAGAGAGCAUUUUACUACUGAGCUGCAAAGGGAAAAACUUAAAAUGGAUAUGAAAAGUGAAGAAAGUGAUCAUAGGAGAAAACCAUUUCAGAUCAACCACCUCAGAAGAGCCAGAUUCCACUUCUGUGGCCAGGACUUUUACAUUAUGGCUGGUCCGAUUGUUUUACCCUGCGUUCUAUGCUACUAAACCUUGGAUCAUUCCUAAAGUACAAAUUCUGUUCUCGAACCACAAACAAGGCUAAAAGAUCGGAGGAAAUUCAGUGAAUAUACAGGAUUGGGGUUGUGUAUUUUUAAAA
rnacentral:lncRNA from 1 species